UGCUUAAUUUUCUAUAAGUAGUUGCUAAAAGACUAACUAUCAUAUUGGGAGGAAAAGAUUACAUUACAUCGAAAUUAUAUUUUUCAUAGGAAAAAAAAAUAUUAUGGUGAAUUAAAUAUUUUCUAAGAUGAUUUGACAAAAAAAAAAAAAAUGUUUUAAACGGGAAAAUUUUAAACCAUAAAUUGACACCUGUUAAUUUUUGUUCACCUUUAGAAUAUAGUUAUAGUUAUAGUUAUAGUUUAGAGUCAUUGAGCAUAAUACGUUUCCAAAAAUUAUUUUAAUUUUACAUUCCACCUAUCUUUAAAUUAUUAAUUUUUCUGUUGGAAUUUCUCUUUUGUUAAUGUAACAAAAAUACAAAAUCUAUCUACCCCUUCUUUAAAUAUGAGAACUUUAGCUACUGUUGAAAAUGAAUAGUGUCUGUUUUGCCCUUCCUCUUCUCUCUACAUGAACACUGAAAUGGCUUCCCUCUCAUUUUCUCUCCUUUCCCUCUGCUUUCCCUGUACACACAUGGCUACAAUCCCUUUUCUUUUUCCCCUAUUCUCUUUCUCUCUUCUAUACCUAUUCUCUUUCUCUCUCCUCCAUGAGCAGCGUACUCUGAGCUUUCUUUCUCUUCUUGAUUUCUUGUUUUCCCUCUUCAUUCCCUUUCAUUUCUACUUUGACUGAUCUUAAUUUGAUACUUUGUGGUUAAAUUUUGAUUUCGCAACUUCAUACUUUGUGGGUUAGGGUUUUCUUUUUCCGAUUGAACAAUUUUUCCAUUGCUGUAGAUGAACUUAGCUUUAGUGUUUUCUCGAAUUUACAAGAUAGCUGCCAUUUUUGUAAAGCACUAUCUUUGCAUGUAUGCUGAUCUUGCUCGUUGACCUAACUUUCCUUUUUUGGCGUUUUGGAUCAGGCGGAGGAGGAAAUCGCCGCCGCCGGUUAUGGUGGUGGUGGGUUUAAGGUGAGAUUUGGGGCUGAUUAUGAUGUGGAAUUUGGGGGUAAUUCUCUCUUCUCCAUUGAAGGCUUGAAGCACGUACUCUGAAUUCUCCAUUGGUGCGGCUUCGGAACUGUCUCAUCAGUUGAACAACUUCUGAGGAUUUAAGAAAAUGGUUACCCAUUAUCCUUCAGCUGCAAUUUCCUGCACCGAAGUUGCACCUUAUGCUGCACAAGUUUCGCAAGUAACAGUUGGUGAUUCACGAUAUACUUAUUCAGAAUCUGCGAUGCUUGGCCUAAAAAAAAUUACAUAUUUCAGCUCAAUUAAUGGAGGUUUUUCUUGAAAUUGCUCGUAACAACACCAACAAGGAUCUCGAGAGAUGUGGGGUUCUUGGUGCUUCCCUUAAAUUGGUUCAACAUCAGCCAACUCAGUAUCCAACAUCUGAAGAACUGAGUAUUGGUAAAAUCAAGUUCAAGGCCUUUGAUUUGGGAGGGCAUCAGAUCGCUAGCCAGGUUCUACUGAAGGGAGAAAGUUGCAGCUCGUGGGGGUGUUUUUGUUUUGGCAUUUGUAUACACUGGGGGCAGGUAGUUACGUUCAGAAGGAAGGUUGUGAGAAUGAGUUCAGACGGGGACAGGAGCAGGGGCAGGAGCAAAGGUAGAAGCAAGAGUCCAGUAGAUCGAAAGAUUCGUAGUGAACGCCAGUCAUUUUGUAGUGCACCUUAUGGAGAGACCAACGUCGGGGUUUCAUGGACAUUGUAUAACAAAUCAACACUCUUAACACCAGCAUCAUGGACAUUUUCAAGCAGCUCCUUAUAUGACUGAAUUAGUGGACAUUGUUGGUCAACCCAAACGCUGUUAAUGAACAAGAUACAAUUUUUUCUUUUUCCUUUUUUUUUCUUUUUUUUAUAGAUGUAACAAAGAACAUUCCUCAAUCCCCUCAAACACGACGACAACCUCAUUGACGGCGGUGUAGUCGGCUGCGCUGAAAUCGGAGGGGUGGGUCAGAAAAGCUACAGAGAAUCUUAGCCUUCUGUUCAUUCAAUUAAGGUGGGAAAUUGGAAGGAUAAGUAUGACUUCAUGUUAGCCGACAUUUUGAAGCAAAAUAAAGUAAAUAAUUCAAGCAUAAGAUUUGAUCCUGGGGUAGGACAACUGAUUCCGAUAGGUUUAUAGCUGAUUAUGAGAAUGAUCAUAUUUCUUAUUGUUGGUCUGCUUUGCAAAAGUUCGAGGCAAAAGAGAAGGAGACCGAGAAGGAGGCUCUUUAGGGAGUUAAAGCUCAAAAGGGUUCAGGCUCUUCAUUCUCUUGUGGAGUUUGCUGCAGAACAUUAAAGCCAUUUUGAGCAAGUAUUCUUGAUACAGUAUACUGUAUAAUGUUGGCUUUUGAUAGGAGUCUCAUUUUGUGGGAUAAAAAAGAAGAUUCCCAAGUCACCAAGUUUGCUCUUAAAAUUGGCAUUAAGAAGGACCUUAGUGAGUUUUUAAGUUCCCAUGGAAAAUUGGAGGGUUAUUUUUAUGAAGAUCAAGGCAGAGCAUAGUUCUAUUACAAUGCGAACUCAAGUUUGUCAUUGUAGAGGGAGAGCAAAGAGAAUAUCUAUCAAGGCUGUUAACCUCACAGACAAGCUUCUUCGUCUGAAGUAGAAAUUCACGGAGGAGAAUCAAUCUGAAUGACUGAACCACCCAGCAGACAUGCAUCAUCAAAAAGAUCUAUGAGCCCAUUGUGGACAGACAAUCAAAUCGUAUGCAGCCUCUCUUUUUGUUAGGUUACUGUUAAUUUUGCGGUUCGUAGGACUCAUUGUGGUUUGAAGAACCCAUAAUUGAAUCUGCUUCUGAGAGUAAGGAUCACUUAACAUCAGUCUUAAAUGCAAACAGGAAGACCUGACCUUUGUCAAGAGCGAUGUUAGCCAUUCUACCCUUUGCGAGCUCUGUCAAGGCAUGAAUUCUCUUAUUUGUUGAUUAAUUAAUAAUAUACUCAAGCUGGAUGAAUCCCUCAUAGCUUAGUUUUUUAAAAUAGAUUUUAAUUGCUUUGUUAAACUGUUUCAAUUAUACUUGAUUAAGGUAAGGUUCUGGGUUUUGGAUUAGCGAAGAUUAGCGAAUAUUGCAUUGUUCAAGAAUCACCUGAUAAACAACACUUUCUCUUUACAUACAUUGU